ensembl:processed_transcript Gm11934 predicted gene 11934
GUGAGUACUCUAAUGACUGGUGUCUCUUUUUUUCCAUCUAAACCGGAGAAACCCCCAAAGUAGAAGGAAUCCAAGCUUCUUUCCACCUGUGGACUGACCUGCUACAUUCAGAAGGGUAUUUCACAGAUUUAUUUAUUUAUUAUAUGUAAGUACACUGUAGCUGUCUUCAGACACUCCAGAAGAGGGCGUCAGAUCUCGUUACGNNNNNNNNNNNNNNNNNNNNNNCGGAUGGAUGUGAGCCACCAUGUGGUUGCUGGGACUUGAACACUGGACCUUUGGAAGAGCAGUCGGGUACUCUUACCCACUGAGCCAUCACACCAGCCCAACUGUUUCAUUUUUAAAAGAACUUUUGACUAUGAGACAGGUCUGUUCCCUAUGCCACUUCAAAGAUGAUGAGCACCAAUAACCUCCAUAUGAAAUAGCUUCAACUGUGGCAAGCUAAUCACUGGGCAAAGAAAAUGCCUAUGCUUCAACUACAGACAAGUCUGUACAGAAAGGACAAACAGAUACAGUGAAGUCAACCACCAAGCUCUGCCAAUACAGGCUAAGCAAGUCCUUCAUAAUUCCUGCUUCACAAAAAAGUCUGUCAGAUAUACUGAGUAUAAGGCUGAAGAUGGAUGCUCCUACGUUUUAAAGUCAAUUCUGGGUAGCUGUGCAGGAAGCUGUCAGUUCUUAGUCUUGGAAGCUGCUGCUUGCACUUCCUGCAAAUUCAGGUCAUAUUUAACCUAUCUUGGGUCUCUGAUAGGGUUGAAGACUAGAUAGAGUCUUACUAUAAGCUUAAGUUGUUUAGAAUUUAAGAUGUUCUAGAUCUGUAAAGAUCUUUUUUAAGGUGGUAAUACAAGUUAGGAUAGAAAAUUAUUUAGAUAUAGAACUGUAAACUUACCAAGAUAGAAUAGAUAAUACUUUAUCUAAGCUGCCAAAUUUAAAUGGACUAGUCUUCACAAUUUUUUCAUAACUGUUAUAAUUGCAUUCAAAUUGUAUUCAAAUUGAAAGAAAAAGAGCCUUUCAUUGGAACAAAAAGGGCAACUGUAGAGAUUAUAUCUUGUAUAUUGUAUGGAAACAUCACCUGUCAAUUAAAAAGUCUAUGGCCUAUGACUUAGUUAGGGAACAUUAGAAGGUGGAACAUUCGGCAGGCAAAAAGAAUUCUGGGAUAGAGGCAGGCACAAAAAGAUCUACCUGAGAAUAUUUAAGGAGAUGGACACAUGGUACCUGAGCAUAGGUAACUAGCUACAUGGCAGAAUGUAGAUUAAAAUAAAUGGGUUAUUUUAGUUACCAGCUAGUCAGAGAAGAGCCUAACUAUAUGGCCAAGGUAUUUGUGGUAGUUUGUAUAUGCUUGGUCUAGAGAAUGGAACUAUUAGGAGGUGUGCCCUUGUUGGAGGAAGUGUGUCACUGUGGAGGUGGGCAAUGAGACCUCCUCCUAACCAUGUGGGAGUCAGACGAAGAUGUAGAACUCUCAGCUCCUCCUGCACCAUGCCUGCCUGGAUGCUGCCAUGCUCCCACUUUGAUGAUAAUGGACUGAACCUUUGAACCUGUAAGCCAGCCCCCAAUUAAAUGUUGUCC